AGGAUACCCCAUGGUUCUCCUACCACCAGAUGCUACUGAGGCUAAACUGACUGGACUGAGGAAAAAUAUCUGUGGGGAAAACUUUCUUUCAGAAUCCAACUUUGAACCAGAGAAAUCCAUUCUCUUGAAGCUGUCUGCUGUGGAGAAGUUGGCCUUACCAAUCUGCCUUUGAAGUUCAAGUUAUACAGGAUCUGCGAGGCUACCUGUGAAUGAAUGGUUGGUUGGUCACUACUUGCAAGUUUUUCAGGAGCUCCUGAAAGAUUACUGCAUAAAUAAGGGAAGAUGGAGACCAGACCUCUGGCUACUGUUGCUGCCACCACUACAGAUACCACCUUCACCCUUAUGAACCCCCUAUUUACUGAACAUUCUCUAUAUGCCAGGUAACAUGCCCUGCACUUGUGAAAUAAGGACUGUUAUUUCCCCUAUUUUAUAAAAGAGGAGCUGAGGCUCAGAGAGAUUAUGUUACUUGCCCAAGAUCAGAUAGCUAGUAAGUGGCAGAGAUGAGAUUCUGUCUGAGUCCAGCUUACACCAUAACUGAUAUUCUUGACAAUCGGGCUGGAUAGAAAAGGAUAAGAUAUGAGAAUUUUGGUGCUAUGAUUUGAAUUUUCCUUCCAAAGCUCAUGUUGAAACUUAAUCCCCAAAGUAACAGUACUGAUAGGUGGGGUCUUUAACAUGGAGUCCCAGAAUUGGAUCGUGAGGGCUCUGCCCUGAUAAAUGAAUUAUUCCACUCAUGAUUAAUGGAUUAAUAGAUCAUCAUGGGAGUGGAACAGUGGCUUUAUAAGAAGAGGAAGAGAGACCUGAGGUAGAACACUCAGCGCCCUUGCCAUGUGAUGCUCUGUACUGCCUUGGGACUCUGCAGAGUCUCUCUACCAGCAAGAAGGUCCUCACCA
rnacentral:lncRNA from 10 species